AUUGAACGCUGGCGGCAGGCCUAACACAUGCAAGUCGAACGAGUUGCGGACGGGUGAGUAAUGUCUGGGAAACUGCCUGAUGGAGGGGGAUAACUACUGGAAACGGUAGCUAAUACCGCAUACCAUCAUAUGUUCCCAGAUGGGAUUGGCUUGUUGGGGGGGUAACGGCUCACCAAGGCGACGAUCCCUAGCUGGUCUACGAGGAUGCCAAGCCACACUGGAACUUAGACACUGUCCAGAGUCCUACGGGAGGCAGCAGUGGGGAAUAUUGCACAAUGGGCACAAGCCUGAUGCGGCCAUGCCGCGUGUAUGAAGAAGGCCUGCGGGUUGUAAAGUACUUUCAGCGGGGAGGCGUUACCCGCAGAAGAAGCACCGGCUAACUCCGUGCCAGCAGCCGCGGUAAUAC
rnacentral:rRNA from 1 species